GACGUAGGGCGCGAGCGUUGUCCGGAUUUAUUGGGCGUAAAGAGCUCGUAGGCGGUUUGUCGCGUCUGCUGUGAAAACUCGGGGCUUAACCCCGGGCCUGCAGUGGGUACGGGCAGACUAGAGUGCGGUAGGGGAGACUGGAAUUCCUGGUGUAGCGGUGAAAUGCGCAGAUAUCAGGGGGAACACCGGUGGCGAAGGCGGGUCUCUGGGCCGUAACUGACGCUGAGGAGCGAAAGCGUGGGGAGCGAACAGG
rnacentral:rRNA from 1 species